AGGGUUUGAUCAUGGCUCAGAACGAACGCUGGCGGCAUGCCUAACACAUGCAAGUCGAACGAAGGCCUGGAGCUUGCUCCGGUCACCUUAGUGGCGAACGGGUGAGUAACGCGUGGGAACCUGCCCAGGGGCGGGGAAUAACAGUUGGAAACGACUGCUAAUACCGCAUACGUCCUCAGGGAGAAAGGCUUCGGCCACCCUUGGAUGGUCCCGCGUCUGAUUAGCUAGUUGGUGUGGUAAAGGCGCACCAAGGCGACGAUCAGUAGCUGGUCUGAGAGGAUGAUCAGCCACACUGGGACUGAGACACGGCCCAGACUCCUACGGGAGGCAGCAGUGGGGAAUAUUGGACAAUGGGCGAAAGCCUGAUCCAGCAAUGCCGCGUGAGUGAAGAAGGCCUUAGGGUUGUAAAACUCUUUCGCCGGUGAAGAUGAUGACUGUAGCCGGUAAAGAAGCCCCGGCUAACUCCGUGCCAGCAGCCGCGGUAAUACGGAGGGGGCUAGCGUUGUUCGGAAUUACUGGGCGUAAAGCGCACGUAGGCGGUUUAUCAAGUUAGGCGUGAAAGCCCCAGGCUCAACCUGGGAACUGCGUUUAAUACUGAUAGACUAGAGACCGAGAGAGGAUGGCGGAAUUCCCAGUGUAGAGGUGAAAUUCGUAGAUAUUGGGAAGAACACCGGUUG
rnacentral:rRNA from 1 species